rnacentral:misc_RNA from 1 species
GCUCCGGACCCGGAACGGCGCAUGCCGCGGACUGGAUUCUCGGCCGGGGCUAUCCCUUGAAGGUCGUCAGACAACGCGGCGACUGGCUCGAAGUGCGCGAUUUUGAGAACGACAAGGGAUGGAUCAAUCGGCGGCUGACCAGCAGCACGCCGUAUCACAUCGUGAAGGUCAAGGUCGCCAACAUGCGCAGCCAGCCGACGACGAGCAGCCGGAUCAUCGGCAAGUUCGUCUAUGGCGUCACGCUGAGGACGCUCGAGCGCAAGAGCGGCUGGGUCAAGGUUCAGCGCGAAGGCUUGCGGGGGUGGGUCGCGCGGCGCCUGCUCUGGGGCUGGUAGUCUCGGCCUCGGCGCAAGCCUCGGCUUGCGCGCUGCGACGUGGCGCCCUCACGCGUGUCGCCGUCACGCCGACAGCACGGCUUCAACCGUCGAACCGAGCCGGCACGAUGCCGCGAUGCUGGUCGAUAGCACGAGCGGAGUACGAUAGCCGGCGUGCCGACUUGGCCUGCCGCCGCCAACCAUGAUGCCGGCUCUGGCACUGAAACUGCGGACGUGCCGCAGUGGUCCAGCGGCCUAAUUUUGACCUGCCAUGCAACCGCCUCGCAUGUCGCGAUCUUCCUUUGCCGAAACAUGCCGGCGACCUGAAGGGCCUCAGCGCCCGGGGGUAUUCAA